rnacentral:rRNA from 1 species
UACGUAGGGUGCGAGCGUUGUCCGGAAUUAUUGGGCGUAAAGAGCUUGUAGGCGGUUUGUCGCGUCUGCUGUGAAAAUCCGGGGCUCAACCCCGGACUUGCAGUGGGUACGGGCAGACUGGAGUGUGGGAGGGGAGACUGGAAUUCCUGGUGUAGCGGUGGAAUGCGCAGAUAUCAGGAGGAACACCGAUGGCGAAGGCAGGUCUCUGGGCUACUACUGACGCUGAGAAGCGAAAGCGUGGGGAGCGAACAGG